GAUAAACGCUGGCGGCGCACAUAAGACAUGCAAGUCGAACGGACAGAAGUAUUUGUUUACAGAUACGGAUGUUAGUGGCGGACUGGUGAGUAACACGUAAGCAACCUGCCUAAGAGAGGGGAAUAACAGUGAGAAAUCAUUGCUAAUACCGCAUAAUCUGUUUCGUUCGCAUGAAAGAAACAGGAAAGGAGAAAUCCACUCAUAGAUGGGCUUGCGUCUGAUUAGUUAGUUGGUGGGGUAAAGGCCUACCAAGACCGCGAUCAGUAGCCGGACUGAGAGGUUGAACGGCCACAUUGGGACUGAGAUACGGCCCAG
rnacentral:rRNA from 1 species